CCCAGUAAGUCGAAGCACCGUAACCAGACGUCUGAGUGAGCUAGUAGCAGAAAAAGAGUCCAAGAUAAAAUGUAAACUACAAAAGACUGACAAUGUGUCUGUGACAGUGGACAUCUGGACUGACAGGAGCAUGUGUGGCUUCUUAGGGGUAACAGCCCACUUCAUGGAAGUGGAGGAGAAAGACUGCCCAAGAAGACUGCAGACAGUUCUCCUAAGUUGUGAACGAUUCACUGGGUCACACACUGGAGAGAGGAUGACGUGGAAUCCAUCCAGAGCAGCUGUCGGCAGCAGCAGCUGCAGUGCUUUGCACAUUCAUUGCAGCUUGUUGUAAGAGAUGGACUAAAGGAGACAAAAACUCUGAACAGUGCAAUGGCAAAAGUGACAAAAUUUUGCAGUUUACUCCAUUCUACUUGUAGACUGAAGGAAGCAUUUGAGGCGGAGUAUGGAGCAAACCGAAGCAUCCCCUCAGCUGUGUCCACACGAUGGAACACAACUCUACACCUUGUGGAGGCAGUCACUGACCUGGAUCCCCAAAGCCUACACUCUCUCCUGGAAGCCCAGGGACAUAAAGCUCUGUGCUUAUCAGCCAGAGAAUGGAGUCAGCUCAAAGAGCUUGUCGACAUUUUAGCCCCAUUUCUGCAAGCAACAGACCUUACACAAGGAGAGAAGGUGGUGACUGUCAGUGCGGCUCUACCUUGUGUACUCUCACUCAACAGCCACCUCAUCCAUAUGCUGAAUGCAUCUCAUCACCUGGUUGGCUUAGUGAAAGCACUGCAGAUGUCACUCCAACGCCGUUUCCAGGGGAUGUUUGCAAAUGUCAGAAUGGAUGAAACAGCACAACCCUCCGUAGAGCUUCCAUUUGGAGAUAUGGUCUACAUGUUGUCUGCACUACUAGACCCAUCAUUCUGCCUCUUUUGGCUAGAACAAGAUGUCCUCACACCAGAUGAAGUCAAGAGUAAGGUGAAGGAGAUGAUGAUAGACCUUCUCUUGGUUGAGGCUCAGAAAGUCACCAUACCUGAGGGCAGCAGUGGAGAAGAUGAGGAGGAGCCACCAGUACCCGCUAAAACUCCACGUCUUUUCUCUGGCUACCGCAAGAAGAGUACCAAGAAAAAUGCAGACCAUCACACAUCCUGCAAAGAUGAAGUCAUUCGCUACAUCCAGGUGUGCUCUGAAGAAGAAGUUGACUGUAUGGAUUUCUGGCAAAAGCAUGCAACGGUCUUCCCAAGGCUUUAUCUUGUGUCUAUGAAACUGCUUGCAGUUCCUGCCACAAGUGCACCAGUGGAAAGGGUAUUUAGUCAUGGAGGCCUUAUAAUGCGCCCUCACCGAGCCAGACUUAGUGCAAAGACACUGUCAAGCUUGAUCUUUUUGAAAUGUAACCAUUCUGUUGCUUAAGACUUUUCUAGUUCUUAGGCCACUGAAGAACACCUAGAAGCCAGAAAUGUUUUUGUGGCCCGGUUAACCAGUCUAAUCUCAUCCUUUGGAUUUUUUUUAUUUUAUUAUUUCUAAACAUUUUGUUCUUAACAAGUUACAGGCCAUAAGUUGGUCAGUUGCUUCACAUUCACUCUAAAAAUGUUGAGCGUUUGAAUGUUGUGCUCUCCAG
ensembl:lncRNA